UGUGGGAUAAAUCGCAGCAUGAUCAGAGAUAUGGAUCAGAUGAGCACAGAAAGCUGGUGAGAGUUUAAGUAAACUCUGGCCACCUUUUCCUCUGACUUUACCUCCAUAGGUGAGGAAGACAGCAGGUGAAUAGUAAGAUACAAAAACUGGAGCAAAAAUGAGUGUUAUUAAAGUGAAUCAAAGUGACAAUUGGAUUGGCAAGUACACAGAGGUACUGCACUCCAUCAGAUCCAUCAGAUGCAUCAUUCCCAACCUGGCAAGAUGUGGCCACCACAAGUGGCUGAGACUGAAGCGAAAAGCAGGCUCCAAUUCAGGACAUUCUUCCAAGAGAAGCC